UACGUAGGGGGCUAGCGUUGUCCGGAUUUAUUGGGCGUAAAGAGCGUGUAGGCGGCCAGGUAGGUCUGCUGUGAAAACUCGAGGCUCAACCUCGAGACGUCGGCGGAAACCAUCUGGCUAGAGUCCGGAAGAGGAGAGUGGAAUUCCUGGUGUAGCGGUGAAAUGCGCAGAUAUCAGGAAGAACACCCGUGGCGAAGGCGGCUCUCUGGGACGGUACUGACGCUGAGGCGCGAAGGCUAGGGGAGCGAACGGG
rnacentral:rRNA from 1 species